CCUGCCCCUAGAAGUGUUAUAGUUAUGGCAGCUGUGUCACUUGUGCAUCAGUAGGUAGCAGAGUUGAAAGAGCCUAUAUCUAGGCUCAGUGUAGUGACCUAUGGACAUCUGAAUGAUUAGUGGACUAACACU